rnacentral:tRNA from 1 species
GGAGGGGUAUGCCGAAUGGCAAGGCACUGACCUGGAAAGUCAGCGGGCGCAAGCCCUUGCAGGUUCGAGUCCUGUCCCCUCCG